rnacentral:lncRNA from 1 species
CUUGCCUUGCUGGAGAAGGGGCUCAAGGCACAGGACUUGCCUCGGACUUGCCAAGGAGGCUUGCAGGAGGCUCUUUGUCUACUCCUCUGUCCUCAUCCAACAAAUGGUUGUUCCAGAAAAAAUGCAGCAACACCUGAACUCUUCUAAAGAAAAAGAAGACAAAAUGAUCUAGUGCAUCUCUGCCAUCCUGUUGAAGAUCCUAUUUGAAAAAAGGGAGACACAGAGAAAGGUUUUUUUUUUUUUUUAAAAGUGAUAGAAUAAUCCAAAGUUAAAAAUUCAACACAAUGGAAAAUAUUAAUUCAAUCCAUGCUGCAAACAA